CUUUAAACUUCACUUUUCCACAAAUCGUGUAUAUAAGCCAUGUUUAGGAAGGGGAGAACACUCAUAGCCUUACUCUACAAGAUCUGAUGUGGAUGGAUGUUACUCAGAGGACGCUACAUUUUUGGAACACUGUCUGGAAAGGUUUUCGGACUCUGCCUUAACUGGAAUAUGGUUUGGGACUAAGUUGAUUUGUCAUGGUUUAUGGAAUUUGUCUAUUUCGUAGACCGUAUCCUGAAUGCUGUUGUCAGGAAUGUUUUUUUUGUUUUUGUUUUUUUUUUUAACUAAAAGAUAUGGAUUGGGUUAAUUUAAUGCAUUCAGAUUCAAGCUGUGGUUGAGGACAUUCAUAUUUUCUGUUGACCUUUAAAGGACACAAAAUUUGUGAACUAAUGGCAAGAUGAAUAACACAGGGACAAGCACUGAACGGUGUUGCUCAACCACCUGCGUUGAUCUGGAAUGUAUCCUAAAAGGGUUGGAGUCGCUGUCUCAUUGCAUGGAUCAACUGGCACUUCAAACCCAGCUCAGGCAGUGUGAUCUGAUCGUUUGUGUCGGCCACCCUGACAAGCUGGGACACCUGAAAAUCCGGGAGGCGCCCCAGCAGGCGCCGCAAGCUUCUCCUGGAAACCAUACAGAGGCAAAGGACGAUGUGCAUGUGUGCAUUUCUUCUUCAUACCAGUUAGGAGGACAACCUUGAAGCUACCAUAAAACCACGACACCAAAAGGACGACAUCGAUUUAACGGUAUGGCAAGCCAGGUAUUCCACUUGGGUUCGAAACUGAUCUCUGUUGUGGGAUUCUUUUGACAACUCCCCCCUCUGCUGUUCGUUUUCUGAAAGACAUGGGUGAAAGUGAGUGCAUUGUGACUUACCUGUGCACUUUUU